CUAAAAUGAUGUUGCUUUAAGCUUCAAUCUUAAUUAUGCUAUUGAACCGAAGUUGCUACAACUGUUUGGGAAUAAUUUUAACGAGAUCAAUACAAUUAAUCCUAACGUAUUGACAAGCCUCAAAACUAACUACAUUAACUACAUAACAUCAGACCAAACAUAAUCAUCAAAACUGACUACAUUAAUUGCAUAACAUCAGACCAAACAUAGUCAUUACAGUUGGACAUAACAGAGACAUGAUGGACACAAAACCUAAUACAUUAACUGCUUGAUCAAGCUAUUCACAUGCCUCAAUAAGCCAAAUCCAAGGUGUUGACAGUGCACAGAAUUUGCAUGAAGUUGUCUUCCUCUUAUAGCCACCUAUAAGAAUCUGCAUCACGCAAUGGUAAAGCAUUUAAGAAACUGUAUUACAUUGAACUUUAUACCCACAGCAGGCACAAUCACACUGUCUACCCCUUCAAUUCCAUCAUCCACGACUUUCUCACUUUCCAAAAUGUUGUCAGUUUGGGACUGUAAUAGAAUGACGUCAUCCGCCUCUUUCACGAAUUCCUUGCCUGCAGUAACAAAACCAAUGACACAUUUCAUUCCCUCUUUCUCCAUAAUCAACAAAUUCUUAACAAAAUCCACAACAUAUGGGUGAAAAAUUUAAGCUUUCCCCUAUUUCUAUUUUAGUUUGAUAGAAUAGGGUGAACAAUUAAUUGACCAUUUAAUUGAUUUUUGAUUCACAGUGAAAUAUCAUAUUACAUCAAUCACAGCAAUCAAGCAGCAAUCACAAAAAUCAAGCCAAGCAAUCACAGAAAUCAAGCAAGCUAAUCACAGAAAUCAAGCCAAUGUUUAGUUCCAUUACAAAUUUCAUUUUACCAUGUAUAGCUUGUACUUUUACCUAUAAAUGUACACACAACCAUUGUAAAAUGCAUGAAGUAAAACAUUAUGGUUUUGGCUUUCAUCUUCCUUCUUCAUCUGUGUGUAUCAAAUUUUAUUAUAUCAUGUAAUCAUAUUUUGAAGCUUAAAGGCAGGGAAAUACUGUCAUCUAAGAUGAAAAGUUUAAAUUUGAUUAUCUAGUUCGUAUUUUUAAGCUUCAUUAAGGAAAAUACUGUUGUUCGUCAUCUACUCAAAUCUGCUCGAAUCUGAGAAGCGCGCGGUAGCUUCAAGACCGAGGAACUCUUUCUUCCAUAGCCUAGUUUCAAAUGUCACAGCCAUUGCUUCAAUGGAGCGCAUGUACAACUCUUUCUUACACAGUCAAACUGAAGCUGAAUGAGCUUCUUUCUUACGUCUUCGUCGCACCGGUAGAACUAUUCUUCCGCAGUCGAACUAUUUCGUCUGGUAGAACUCUUUCUUAGGCAGCCUCCGGCAACGUCGACUGCUUCAAGUUGGAAGAACAACGUCUUCGAGCGCCGGUCGAUCUUACACAAUGUCGUCUGAAUUUUUGGCUCUCUCUUUGCUGAAUUUGUGAGCAAAAUUGCUUUUUAUCGACCCGCUUUGUCUCUGCCAUUUUCAAAUUUAAUGACCCGACCCAAUUUAUCAAUUGUUUCAUUUUUUUUUUAAUUAUACCUCCAGCUCAGCGUGUAACCAGAAGGUACCAAUAGCAUUUUCCAUAUCGUAAAUGGGUAAUUUUUUAAUCAGCUUGUUGAAAAGUUAAUUAUGUGAUGGUUAGAC
rnacentral:lncRNA from 1 species